UGCGUAGGUGGCCAUGUAAGCGCGGGGUGAAAAGCAAUAGCUUAACUAUUGUAAGCCUUGCGAACUGUGUGGCUUGAGUGCAGGAGAGGAAAGUGGAAUUCCUAGUGUAGCGGUGAAAUGCGUAGAUAUUAGGAGGAACACCAGUGGCGAAGGCGACUUUCUGGACUGUAACUGACACUGAGGCACGAAAGCGUGGGGAGCAAACA
rnacentral:rRNA from 1 species